rnacentral:lncRNA from 1 species
UAAAUGUCACUGAGCUUUUAGAGCUGCAAUUUGAGCAAAAAAGAACGGGUGCAGACAUAAUUUGUGUGUAGGUGGUAUCCCGAUCAAGAAGUAGUAGUAUAUGAUAUGAUUAGUUUUGCUGACACACGUUUUCCUCCCACACAAUAGAUUGUGACUCCAGGAACUCCUAAUCAAAUCAGCUAUUACUCUAUUUACAUUCAGCCUUUUACUUAGAGUAAAUUUGUCACCGGAUCCGCUAACUCAAAAUUCAGUAACUUUGAGCAUGAUAUCUCAAUCACCUAUCCCC